AUAAUAAUAUCUGUUGUGGUGUUAAACAACAACCAGUCAAUCAAUAUAAAUAUUUGUUAAUUGUAUAAUACUGUAAAAUUGUGAAAUUAUUGGGAUGAUUAUAUUAAUGCAUAAAUUGCAAUUAAAUGAGUAUCGCAAUAAAAAGAACUUGCAUUCUGAUGUCAAUUAUAUGUAUAUGUGUAAGCAAAUUAAAGCAAUAAUUAAUCUCACACCUUUUGUCAUUUCUUAAAAAAUGUCAAUAAAUAGGUACACACAAUAAGUUCUGUUUUCACUGUGCUGGAUUCUGAAAAAUGAACAAACUUACAACUUUUUUGUGAUAGAAAUGUGAUAGUUUAAAGGCUUAAAAACCUUGAAAGCUAAAUGUCUUUAAACAAUGUAUACAUAAGACCAUGCCUAUUUCGAACAGUUAUUCUUUUGAAUGUAACUAUAUAAGCAAGUUGUGGGCAAACUUUAUCAUGAAUCAACUGUAUAUAAUGCAGUAUCUAUUCUUUAAAAGUAAAAUGAUCUCUUCUCAGUGAACACAAUAACUGUCUGCAGAAUUAAAAGGAAAAGUUUGAAUUUCAGGACGUAUUAAUAUGCAACAGAAAUUACAGACAUUUCUUUCCUGAUACUUUUUAAAUCAAAAAAAUUUCAACUAAGGUAUCUUACUUCUUUAAAGCAAAAGUAUUAAACAAAUUAUAAUCUGAUGAAUCCUGAUUAAAAGGUGUCCUUUAUAACCUAAGUAUCAAAACAGAGUGACUUAUUUUAAGAUGUGAAUGAGUCCAUAAUGUUUAAAUCUUUACUAUUCAUGAAAAGUUAGAAUAUGUGGGUUAUAUGAGACAGCACCUCAAAAAUGAAUUACCCCAGUAUAAAAAUAGAAUGAAGUAUAUCCCUGUUCCCCACAGCACAUAGAAACAUGAAUUUGUAGAUUUACAAGAGAUCUUGGUUAGGACCAUCAAGUAAUGCACAUUUAAUGUGUAGGCAAAUUUCAAACUUGUUUAACUGAAAUAAAUCAAGAGAUCAUUUAUGUUAUGUCUAUAUAGCUUCUUUGAUCAAUUAAAUGGAUUUGAGAUAUUGUAAACAGAUACUGCUUUUCCUUACCCUUGGACAUUUACUAGAUUUUCAGCAGAUCUACUUGUCACAUGUAUGUAUCUCUUACAUGAAAUUUGUUUCGGGUACAACAAAAUGCCUUAGUGUGUAGAUAACGGAAAUAUGUUUGGUUAGCUUGCUUGCUAGCUAAACUGUGAAGUCAUUAUCAAGUUAGGUACACUACCUACCUUUAAGAGUUGGUUAGUUGGACAGAUAACCAAUCUGUCUGUCUGUAGGACUAGACUACUUCAAAAGGAGGGUAGUAUACACGAUAAGCUAAACAAAUAUAUUACCUUUACCUACACACUCAAGGCAUUUUGCUGUAACAGAUAGCCAGAUUAGUAUCUGGGAACAGUAUCAAAAUGCAUACCCUUUUAAUAUUUUACAUUGUCACUUCUAAAACAAAAAUGUUAAACUAACAUCUUGGACAGACAUUUUGUUUUUCAAAAUUGCACAAUAUCAAAUCAAGCACUGAGACUAGAAAUAAAUACAUCAAUAUUUACAAAAAUAAAAUAUUUAUACAAAACUAUACACUUUAUAUAUUGAACUAUGAUCCAUGACCAACACAUUUUUUUACAUGUGCUUAUACCAAAGCAUUGAAAAAGACAAAAUAAUGAAGAAAUAUCAUCUGAAAUAGUUGCAGCAAGCAAUCUGGUUUUUUUUUUUCAUAAUUUGCAUUAAAAAUAAAGAUGGAAAAAAUGUGUAUUUGUUUAACACUGAUAACAUUCAUUUUAAUUUGUUACAGCAAGUACUGAAAAUUCAGAAAUUGUUGCAUGCAUUUAUAAUUAUGAUUUUUGAAAAAUUGACAAAAAUGAAAGUUUUCAGAUACAGAUAUAAAUACUAGACAUCAGAAUGUGAGUUCUGCGAUAAUUACCAAGUUGCAUUAUUGCAUUAAUAAAAACCUUGCAAUAAUUUCUGAAUAUACAGUACAUUUUUUGUACUUAAAAGUAUUCUUUUCUAA
rnacentral:lncRNA from 1 species